rnacentral:rRNA from 2 species
ACCUGCAGAAGGAUCAUUU